rnacentral:hammerhead_ribozyme from 1 species
AUCCAACUGACGAGUCUUGAAUAGGACGAAACACGUGUCCUGGAU